rnacentral:lncRNA from 1 species
CUGGAUUAGUAGUUAUCACAUACAAGACUCAUUUCAGCAAAAUAUCAUUUCCAUACAAUGAAAUCAGAGUACAACAUUGGGUAUUUACAUCCGAUUCAUCCUGGAUUACGAAUUCUGCACAUGCCCCUUGGGCUUAAAUGACAAACAAAAACUCAUACAUAGCGGUAGCUAGGGCUAAGUCUUCUCUUUCGAAUCUUUUGCAUAGGCAUCCUUGAGCGAAGCAACGAGACCCUUCCUUCAAGAAUUCUUCAUGAUCGGACUUUUCACUCCAUGUCUAUACCUACAUACUCAUGAACUGUCCCCAACGAAUAGGACAAGUCCACGUCACCAUCCGUAGGCAGCUUUAUGUGGCGAAAUACUAAUAUUCAAAAGUAGUCAAGGUAUAGGCUCGGGUUCCCUAUGCAACAGCAAAGCAUAAAGAAUAAAUUUCCAUAUCCAUCAACCCAUCGCUCAUCACAUCGAGAACACCUGUCUUGACAGUGGCCCUGUCACCAUCAUUCUAUCUUCAUACUAGGGUCGAGGCAAAGACUCCCCCUUCUCGCCUCUCAACAACUACAACCGGAUCCUAAAGGCGGAAGGGAGCAACUUCUCCUUUCCCCGACUGCAAUUGCGGCUCACAACACACAGGUAGCUAUAGGGGGAGGUAGAAAUAUCCCAAAACAAUGGAGAGUCAUCAUGACAUAGGGUUGUCCAUGACCGACGUCGCGGCUAUACGUAUAGUUUUAACUCUACAGAGUGUGUACACCUUGACCCAUCUCGGAGUGAGUGCAACUGGUGAUUAGCCGUAUGAAUAUCACUCUACCGACCGAAGAACUUGGGAGUUACGAUACCAUCCUGCAUCCGGGCUCGAAUGCGAUCCCCCGCAGUGAACCACCCCAGAACUGUGAAGCACUCCCACCGGGGCCAAUCGUGGGCAAAAGCAAAUCAGGAGGCUAAACGUCAACACCACUCCCCUCUACACCGAUACUCUAUCCUACGACAAGUAUAGAUCUCACUUGCCAGUCUCGACCCGGGCCUAAACCCAUAAUUUACCGAGUGGUGUGCACGUUUAACAUAUUCCUGUGAAGCAAGGUGACCCACUCGGUUUCAGACCGAGGCGAGCUCCUAACUUCCACAAAGUGAUUCCACCACUUAGAUCGCAAUGGUACCAGCCCAUAGCAGGUAUCACCACCAACUCCUAUGCUCCUCAACCAUGUACUCGCAACAAGUACCAAACAGGGAAUGUCCGAGAACGAACCCCAAGCCCCCAAUCCAAAGAUUGGGUUGUAUAAAGCUCAACCUUGUCAAAUAUCCCAAAAAUACCUUCUCCUACCAGUUUUAAUCCCACACACGCCAAGAAUCCUAAUCACAAUAUCCC